GUCAAGGGAACCCGCUGCUGGCUCUGAGUAAAUCGCCGUGUUGCGAAAGCAUGAUUCUCUGUUCCAAACGCUCCCGCGCCGGGUGCAUGUACCGCCCAAUCUUACGGUGCCUCAUCGUCAAUUUUGUGUUAACCUCUCUUGUGUAUUUUUUUUCGUGGGUUUUUGGAAACACAAAACGCGUCUCUUCAUCCUGAAAUAUCGAGUACAUGAAAAUAAAAAAAACUAGAUUUUUCCCCACUGUCACUGGCGAGGUCUUCGGCUUCAUGCAAUCGCAUUCUGUCGCUGCUUCGUGGAGCACGGAGAUAGCCCUCACUUCAUGCGAGUACUGCAACGUUUGUGACAGUCUUUGCAAAGCAACCAGUGGUUGGUCUACCUACGCUCCAAGGCUCUACUGUGAACAUAUGUUUUACUCGUGUUGGCAUAAUGUGUAUGGAGACCAAAAGGGCUGCGAAGACCGAAUCCCUAUCCACAUGAAGGGAGGAAGGUCCUUGAUGACAACACACCCUCAUUUAGUAUCCACAGUGUACCCAGAUCAAGCCACAGCAGCAUCCUGCACGCACAGCUACAGAAAACCGCAUGCUGCAUCCUGUAACUAUCAGGGGAUCACCUGUACACAGUGUGGAAUGGGGGACCCUGGACCAGGUGGAGGCACAUCGGGCGAGGUGGUCGGCGGACGGACGCGGAAGAGAAUCCUCGACCCGCUGGAGUUCCAUGAGGACGACAACAACGCCAGACGGCCGGGCAUCUCCGACUGGCAGGAGACCCUAAAGAGCAUAGGUGUGCCGAACAAAAAGGGAUUCAUCACAAUGGAAGGUGGCCAUCAGAAGCAGUGGGAAUUGGAAGACAUUGACCAAGGUCUGGCUGCGGAUUUUGAUGACUCCCUGUCUGGGCUUGGAGUUGAUAUAAGCACUGCUUCAUACAACAUGAGUGAAGCGCUGCUGGCACUACCUGCUGUGCCCAUCUUCAAGCAGGAGGCCUUGUCACCAUCUGGCCAGGAUAAGCAUAAUACAUCAUCAAACCCUGCAACGUUUGAUGAAUCUUCACAGAGCAAUACAACAGAUAGACUGUUCAGGCUCUUGAGCUCUGACAAUUUGACAGAUUGUCCUUCACCAUCCAUCCAUCAGCUUCUGCAGCAACACAUAACCCCUGGCAUUACGCAGGGAACCACCUCUCACGUGACAUCUCAUGGUGCAUCAUCAUCCGCAUGCCUCCAAACUUGCCAUCACUCACAGCAAUCAACCGUCCAGAAUAACACUUCGGAUUCUGCCCAAGAAUCCGUCACUCUCUCCAAUCAUGGAAUGUCAUAUGAAGAUAAUAGAUUUCAAUAUAUUUUGGGUGCUGCAACAUCAGUAGCUACAAAAGUGAAUGAAGAAAGCUUAUCGUACCUGAAUCAAGGCCAGUCUUAUGAAAUCAAAGUAAAGAAAUUAGGUGAUCUCACAAGAUGUAAAGGAAAAUUUUAUCACACCAUAAUCCGUGUCUGUUUUCAUGAGCGGCACUUGCAAUACAUGGAGAAAGAACAGCUGGAAAGCUGGAGACACAUGCGACCUGGAGAGAGAAUACUGGAGGUUGAUAUUCCAUUGUCUUAUGGUAUAUGUGACGUUGCACAAGAUCCCAAAUCAUUAAACAUGUGUGAAUUUGAUUGGGAUCCAACGAAAGAAGUGGGAGUGUAUAUAAAGGUCAACUGUAUCAGCACAGAGUUUACUCCCAAGAAGCAUGGCGGAGAAAAGGGAGUUCCAUUUAGAAUUCAGGUGGAGACCUAUUCUAAAACUGAGUGUGGCCAAGAACAGCUUCAUGUCUGUGCCUGCCAGAUCAAGGUGUUCAAGUUGAAAGGAGCUGAUAGAAAGCAUAAGCAGGAUAGAGAGAAGAUAUCAAAGAGACCACAUUAUGAACAAGAGAAGUAUCAGCCCUCUUGUGAAUGUACUAUCCUAACAGAGCUAUCUCCAGAGGCUGUCUAUGUACCUGCUGCUGAAUCCUCAGCCUCAACUCCCAGCUCAAACGCAGGUCUAAGAACACAGAGUCCAGCAUCUGUAUUAAAAAAUGAAUCAGGUGGCAUAGAUCAAACAAAAUUAGAAAAUGGUGUUCCAACAGACCAAGAAGAAGACCAAGAAAAUCCGGUAAGGAAGAGAUUUCCAAUUACAAGUGACGUGUCUUUCAAGGGGAAAAUAAAAAACCGCAAAAAAGAGGAGAAAUGAUCAGGUUAUGCUUGAAGGAUAUCUUCUUUUGCCAACUUUGAUUGUACCUUAUAGAUGAAAGGCCAAGUACUAUCAUGAAAUCAGCCAAGGUUCAUUUAUACGGUGUUCCUCUCCACUCAGGAACCACUGCUGUGCAAACCA
rnacentral:misc_RNA from 1 species